GUAUGAAUGGCCACACGAGGGCUUUACUGUCUCUUACUUCCAAUCCGUGAAAUUGACCUGCCCGUGAAGAGGCGGGAAUACAUCAAUAAGACGAGAAGACCCUAUGGAGCUUUAAUUAACCGACCCAAAGAGACCUUUAAUUUCCACCGAACGGGAACAACAACCUCUGCUAUGGGCCGACAAUUUAGGUUGGGGUGACCUCGGAGAAUAAAACAACCUCCGAGUGAUUUAAAUCUAGACUAACCAGUCGAAAGUAUUACAUCACUUAUUGAUCCAAAAGCUUGAUCAACGGAACAAGUUACCCUAGGGAUAACAGCGCAAUCCUAUUUUAGAGUCCAUAUCGACAAUAGGGUUUACGACCUCGAUGUUGAA
rnacentral:rRNA from 1 species